UAAGUUUUGGAUUCCCAAGUAUAUGCGUGCUAACCCUUUGGGAUCCAAGACUCGGUUUUCUUUAUCCCUUCAUGUGUAGGUACGGGGAUACGGGUGAAGGACAUGAGCUCGAAGGGACUUGAUCUUUUGCUUUGAUGGUUCUCCACACCAUUUGGAUGUACACUUGUAUAGUGAGUUUUUUCCUUCACUUGUAUAUUAUUUGCAUGUUUUAUCCUUGUAUCAUGCUAUGAAUAUACCAUGGUAGGCUAGCCACCUUUUCAUGUUAGCAUAUAUGAUCUUCUUGUAUAUCUUGUCAUGCUAGCUUUGUAAUAUAUCUUGGUGGAUGAUCCACAUGAACAUCGUACCAUGCUUUAGCUUAGUCUUUGUAUUGGGUAUGACAUAUUGUUCAUUUGGUAUCAUUUUAGCUUAGUAUCUUUGUAUAAUGCUCUGCACCUUGUUGACAUGUUUGCUUGCCUAAUCUUUUAUUCAUAAAUAUAGAAUCAUGUUGCAAUGCUUCAAUUUCUCUCAUUGGUAUCAUCAUUGCAUUGUGUGACAUGAAUUGAGCUUUAUUUUGCUUUUGGGCUUGCCUUAUCUUUGGGUUGCAUUUUCUCUUAUUUUUGAUUGGAGUUAGAACUUUUCUUUUGCACCUUCCUUUUCUAGCUUUUCUUUGCUAGGUGUCUUUGGUUGAGGGGGAGUUCAGCUUCAUUCGAGGGGGAGUUUGGACCAAGACUUUCUUUGAUUUUUUUUAUAUCCACUUUUGAUCUUUUAAUUGGUAUCAACUUUGAUCUUUCAAUUGGAUUUUUCAUUUUAUUCAAGUGAUAUCAAUUUUUGAUCCUUCAAUUGGUAUCUUUUCUGUGGUACUCAAUUGGAUCCUUAGCAGUUCUUUUUUUGCCACGGAGCUUUUCCUAGAUUGGUUUGACCCCUUAUGAGCUUUCUUGAUUUGAGUCGAACCUCAUCUCUUUUAGCAUCACAUUGCAUUUGUACCAUAUUGCACCUUGUACACUUUGCACUAGAUGAGCUUCUCCUAUAGAUCCUUACCAUUUCCUUAUGCUAUUUGUGAGCUAGUGCAUUGGUUGGUGAUUAUGUAGCAAUGUGCAGCAUAUGACUUGUGAUGCAUAUGAGGGUGUUUGCAAUGAUCUCUUGUUGAGAAUGUAUCUUCCUUGUAUGAGUUCUGAUGGCCUAGUUUAAUUAUUGCUUGAGUGAUUCAUGACUAGGUGCUUACUGAUGUGGUGAUACUUUUAUAAACUGCAAAACUUGACAACUUGCUUUGUUUUUUUG
rnacentral:lncRNA from 1 species